rnacentral:lncRNA from 1 species
AGAGUUUAACUAAAAUAUUAUUUCUCAAAUUUAACUAAAAUAGGAAUCAUACUCAACAAACAUCUAUCAACCAAAACUGGCCAUCAUGAAAGAGUUGCAACUAUGCUUGACUCUCAACUGGAUAGCCUCUAUUAGCCGACCAUACCACUUGUGGAGAAGAUCUGAUAUGACCAUCGUAACUCGUGCUGAAGAUGGAGAUGGCAAAUAGGCAAUUGUCACCAUCAUAGCUGCAAUGGAAACCACAGACAAACGUCCCAUUAACAAGGAUCGGCUUCACACCAAAUGACUUCCUGAAAUUAUAGCCAGAUGAUGGAGGGAUUCUCCAAGAUUUCGGGUCAUCAACAAAUGAGGGGUAGUCCAUGAUUUCAGCAUCAACAAAAACUAACGCCGAAAUGAUCAAUGGCAUCAAAAGAGUGAUCAUUAGAAAGGCGCUACAAGAAUUGGUAUUCAUGAUCUUUGCUCUCUAAGGCGAGCAAUGGCUUACCAGGGAAAAGUAAAUUAGCUGC